ACUCAAAGGAAUUGACGGGGGCCCGCACAAGCGGUGGAGCAUGUGGUUUAAUUCGACGCAACGCGAAGAACCUUACCCAGGAUUAACAUCUGGAGAACCCCUAUGAAAAUAGGGGGUGCCUUUCGGGGAAUUCCAAGAUAGGUGCUGCAUGGCUGUCGUCAGCUCGUGUCGUGAGAUGUUGGGUUAAGUCCCGCAACGAGCGCAACCCUUAUCCUUAGUUACCAGCAUUCAGUUGGGGACUCUAGGGAGACUGCCGGUGUUAAGCCGGAGGAAGGUGGGGAUGACGUCAAGUCCUCAUGGCCCUUAUACCUGGGGCUACACACGUGCUACAAUGGCCGGUACAAAGAGACGCUAGACCGCGAGGUGAAGCAAAUCUCAAAAAGCCGGUCUCAGUUCGGAUUGAAGUCUGCAACUCGACUUCAUGAAGUUGGAAUCGCUAGUAAUCGCGCAUCAGCAUGGCGCGGUGAAUACGUUCCCGGGCCUUGUACACACCGCCCGU
rnacentral:rRNA from 1 species